UUUCUGAAUUGAUGUGCGGGAAAGGAGAGAGAGAGAUGAAUGCUCCAUUAGCAGCAAACAUUUCAUAGUCACUCCGAGCUUCGAGGGACAUUGAAGAGGAAGAAUAAGUAUCACAACGCAUGAUUUGCUUAGGAUUUCAGGACUGAAGAUUUGAGAGAAGACUAAGACCCAAGACAAUGUCGACCAUUUUCUUCACAUUACUUCUGUUCAGCUUAGGUGUCAGUCAAAUGUAUAAUCGCAAACCUUCACCGUGUAGGUUCGAUUCCAGUGGUGAAGAUUGUGCCGUAAAAACUGGCGGAAGUUACUUCUGGUUUAGCUAUGCUCGUAAAUGUGAAUUUCUCAAACACUGCAACAAGAAUAACAAGGACGUUUUCAAGACUGAACAACAUUGCCGAACUACAUGUCUCCACGAGGAAGAACAAGCUAAGAAAAGGGGCUAGGCCUACUAAUAAGAUGAUUCUCAGCUAUCUGAAGAUACUCUGUGACUUAGUGUUAACAAAUGUCUAGCUUUUGCUUUGCUUAGUAGUGUACUGUUUAAUGUUUCAUUUUGUACAUUCUUUCGCUCUUUCUCUGUCUUUAUCAAAAUUAUAAUAAAAACUGCACUCAA
rnacentral:sRNA from 1 species